AGGGAUAGAGGACGGAAAUGGCAUCCGUCGCCAUGUUAGAGAUGUGGGCAGGUCACCCCACCUAUCCCU
rnacentral:ncRNA from 1 species